AUUAAGAUGGCUGAAAAAUUAAGCAAUAAACUGUAAAUUUAUUAAUGAAUAUAUUAUUCUCUUAAUA
rnacentral:tRNA from 2 species